rnacentral:rRNA from 1 species
ACGCUCGACACCUACUGGAGGCAGCAGUGGGGAAUAUUGCACAAUGGGGGAAACCCUGAUGCAGCGACGCCGCGUGGAGGAAGAAGGUCUUCGGAUUGUAAACUCCUGUUGUUGGGGAAAAAGAGGAUGGUACCCAACAAGGAAGUGACGGCUAACUACGUGCCAGCACGCCGGACGGUAAUCUGGAGGCCGGGCUGGACGAAGGC